rnacentral:rRNA from 1 species
CACGUAGGGCGCAAGCGUUGUCCGGAAUUAUUGGGCGUAAAGAGCUCGUAGGCGGUCCGUCACGUCCGCUGUGAAAACCCAGGGCUCAACCCUGGGCUUGCAGUGGAUACGGGCAGACUAGAGGCAGGUAGGGGAGAAUGGAAUUCCCGGUGUAGCGGUGAAAUGCGCAGAUAUCGGGAGGAACACCAGUGGCGAAGGCGGCUCACUGGUCCGGUACUGACGCUGAGGUGCGAAAGCGUGGGGAGCAAACAGG